GUAAAGACUACGUUGCUGAAGCUGAUGAGUUCAUGAAGAAUGGAACAUUUAUAUGGGGAUGGAUUGGGGUAAGUUAGCCUAACUGCCGAAAGUGGUUCAAUUCUCCUUGUCAGCUCGCUGCAGUUGGUUUCGGCUUAAUUGUAGCAUCAUGGAGGGACAACGAGGUAUAAACAAGCUCGAGGAAGAGUGGCUAUAACAGGUCAGUGAUGCCUUUGGAUGUUCAGGGCUGCACGCGCGGUACAAUGAUAACGACAACGAGUGUCUGCGUCGAAAGACGUGGGUAAUCUUUAAUCGUUAUCGUGAUGGGGAUUGACCGUUGUAAUUAUCGGUCAUGAAAGAGGAAUCCCUAGUAUGCGCAUUUUAUUAGAAUGUGCAGAUUGAGUCCCUGCCCUUUGUACACACCGCCCGUCGCUACUACCGAGUGAAUGGUGUCAUGAUGCGCUGGGACUGGACGUCAGUUGGGUUUUCGGGCCUCGGCAGACGCUGGGAUCAGUACACAAAAAUGGGAUCCCCAAACCCAUCGUAAAGACUACGUUGCUGAAGCUGAUGAGUUCAUGAAGAAUGGAACAUUUAUAUGGGGAUGGAUUGGGGUAAGUUAGCCUAACUGCCGAAAGUGGUUCAAUUCUCCUUGUCAGCUCGCUGCAGUUGGUUUCGGCUUAAUUGUAGCAUCAUGGAGGGACAACGAGGUAUAAACAAGCUCGAGGAAGAGUGGCUAUAACAGGUCAGUGAUGCCUUUGGAUGUUCAGGGCUGCACGCGCGGUACAAUGAUAACGACAACGAGUGUCUGCGUCGAAAGACGUGGGUAAUCUUUAAUCGUUAUCGUGAUGGGGAUUGACCGUUGUAAUUAUCGGUCAUGAAAGAGGAAUCCCUAGUAUGCGCAUUUUAUUAGAAUGUGCAGAUUGAGUCCCUGCCCUUUGUACACACCGCCCGUCGCUACUACCGAGUGAAUGGUGUCAUGAUGCGCUGGGACUGGACGUCAGUUGGGUUUUCGGGCCUCGGCAGACGCUGGGAUCAGUACACAAAAAUGGGAUCCCCAAACCCAUCGUAAAGACUACGUUGCUGAAGCUGAUGAGUUCAUGAAGAAUGGAACAUUUAUAUGGGGAUGGAUUGGGGUAAGUUAGCCUAACUGCCGAAAGUGGUUCAAUUCUCCUUGUCAGCUCGCUGCAGUUGGUUUCGGCUUAAUUGUAGCAUCAUGGAGGGACAACGAGGUAUAAACAAGCUCGAGGAAGAGUGGCUAUAACAGGUCAGUGAUGCCUUUGGAUGUUCAGGGCUGCACGCGCGGUACAAUGAUAACGACAACGAGUGUCUGCGUCGAAAGACGUGGGUAAUCUUUAAUCGUUAUCGUGAUGGGGAUUGACCGUUGUAAUUAUCGGUCAUGAAAGAGGAAUCCCUAGUAUGCGCAUUUUAUUAGAAUGUGCAGAUUGAGUCCCUGCCCUUUGUACACACCGCCCGUCGCUACUACCGAGUGAAUGGUGUCAUGAUGCGCUGGGACUGGACGUCAGUUGGGUUUUCGGGCCUCGGCAGACGCUGGGAUCAGUACACAAAAAUGGGAUCCCCAAACCCAUC
rnacentral:rRNA from 1 species